CCACCACUGUGAGAAGACAAUGACGAAAAGAACGUGCGACACCUUAUACGAAGAAGUUAACGUGCGCGAAUACCGGCGACUUCUUCGCGUUACCCCGGAGCAGUUUUCACAACUCCUGGCGUACGCCGCACCGAGGGUUUCGCCACAGGAAACGACGCUGAGGCUACAGAUCACCCUGCGCUACCUUGCCUCCGGAGAAAGUCACUAAUCACUGUGUCGGCAAUUCCGGGUGGGCCAUUCUAAUGCAAACGACAUCAUACCGGAAAGAUGCACCGCAUUAUAUGAAGAACUGAAGAAGGAUUAUCUGAAGAAGCCGAAAACAAAUGAAAACUGCGAAGAAAUCAACAGUAAAUUUAGAGAAAGAUUGCAAUUUCCUAACUGCAUAGGUGCCAUAGACGGCAAGCAUGUGGCGAUUAAAAAGCCUGCGCCCUCACGGUCGAUAUCUUGUAAUUACAAGAAGGCCUACAGCAUCGUCCUGUUUGCUGUCAUAGAUUCUGCAUACCGGUUCAUCUACCUUGACGUAGGAUCACCCAGAUCCGACGGAGAUGCUGGAGUCUGGCAAGCAACGCCAUUGCAACAUGCCUUGAAAACUAACAAGGCGAAAUUGCCCGAAGUAGUAAAGGUGGCUACUGCACCAGAUUUACUACUGCCGCCUGUGUUCGUCGGACAUGACGCGUUCCCUAUUGGAAAGCACCUUAUGAAACCGUAAGGAGGCAGCAAUCUCUCAUAUGACCAAAGAGUUUUCAAUUACAGGCUGUCCAGAGCUCGGAGAGUGUGUGGGAGCGUGUCCGGGAUACUGGCUAACCGUUUGGGGUGCCUACACACCGUCAUUGAACCAAGGCUUGAGAGGGUGGUACCUGUAGUCCUUUCAGCAUGUGCUCUGCAUAAUUUUCUGAGCAACGACAUGCAAGUUACUCCUGAACUAGAGCAGUCUGGCGACAACUCAUUUUUGAUUCGCUCAAGGCUCCACGUGGACGCCCCAAUGCGUUUGGGGAUGCAGUGCGUGUAAAGAUAUGUGCGUAUAUUUUAAGGACAGAGGUGCUGUGCCAUGGCAGCAAGACUUCGCCUGUCUGAACAGCCAC